GUGCCUUUAGUGACAACAAAUACAUAGAAAAAAAGUAAGGUUGCUGCUCUAUUUUUCAUGUCAUGGCUGCUGGCCCAGGCCAUAUUCUAUCUAUCAGAGUGCAGUCACAAAGUGUGUACCCCAAAAUGCUCAACUAUCUGUCACCCAUGAGGAGGUUUUGACCCUACAAGGCAGUUUUGGUCCUAGCGAUGUGUUUGCUUGCAGAAGGUCAGCAGCUGUACCUGCACUGGAGUCACAAGAUUGGGACUUUUCUUGUCCUGGGCUUCUCUAUCACAGCCCUCUUCAUAUUAUCUGUGCUCUGGGGAGAUCAGUGGAAAACAGUCCGCCUCUCGUUCCAGGUAAGAGGCUUGUUUGAAAGGAGGUUCUUUGAAAAAAGCAACUGGUUUCUUGAAGUAUUGUGUGGCAAUCAGUGGAAAAUAUUCCAUAUGGUAAAUGUUUUUCACAUGGGUUUUCCUGGCAGUCUGUGCAGUUUUGCAUAGACUUUUAUUAAGACUUAACAUUUCCUGUAGGAAGGAAGGAAGCCAAGACCUGAGGUUUGGUAUCAAGCUAUUUGUUUGAUAUAACAUGUCUCAUUUUGGGAAGUUGUAUCCUUUUUUUUUUCUCCUUUUUUUGGCAAACUUGUUUUAAGUGUACUGUUAAUUAGCAGGUGCUGAGGGCAGCUCAAUCAGAUCCCUUUGGCUGGUGGGGUUACUGGAGUGAGAAUUCACUCCCUACUCAGCUCAUGCCAGCUCAGCAGCUUUUAGCAUUAGCCCAAUUUCAGUCUCCUACAACCCAGAAGAGCUUCAUCCCCUGAGGAUGGGAAUCAGGGCUAAUGCACUGGCAAAGGUAAAGAGAAAGUGUCAGCUUCUCCUCCCCUUUUCAGACUCUAGGGGAGGAGGAUGGGGAGAAGGAGACACAAAAUCUUUUGGGUUUCCCACAGGUGUGGUUUAUUUUGGGUGUUCAUGCCCUUUGAGAUGCUUCAGCUGCUGUUCCCAAAGGACACCAGUCUUUAGCAGAUCCUGUGUUCUGUCCACUAGCCCUGCAUAACUAUCUCAAAUAUCCUGGACAUCUCAGGUGGCACCUUUGUUUAUGCAACUGCAUCCUGCUUCUGGUCAAAAGAAGUUGGGAUCAGGUAUCCAGGGCAGACGUUCUCACACACAAUGACAUCUCUCAAUGACUUCUGCUUUUCUUCAACCCUUACAUUUUAGAGAGUUGGCCAAGCGGUAGGAAAGGCUGAGGAAAUUCCGGUUUGUUGACAUUAGAUUGAUGAUUUAGUUGCAGUGGAGAUGACUGUUACAUGGAUAAGAUUGGACUGGAUUAGAUUGGAUUAAAACUGGUGCUCUCUGGAAGAUGUUCACAGGUUAUGACGUAGUAGUAAAGGUGAUUGUUUGCCAAACCAUCCUGGACAAGGACAGACUUGUCCCUUUUGGCUGGUUGAGAGGAAAGGAGAGCUUUAUACUGAAGUGAGGAGCACUCCUCAGUGCGGGGAACCAGCCAGGC
rnacentral:lncRNA from 1 species